GACGUAGGGCGCGAGCGUUGUCCGGAUUUAUUGGGCGUAAAGAGCUCGUAGGCGGCUUGUUGCGUCGACUGUGAAAACCCGCGGCUUAACUGCGGGCUUGCAGUUGAUACGGGCAGGCUAGAGUUCGGUAGGGGAGACUGGAAUUCCUGGUGUAGCGGUGAAAUGCGCAGAUAUCAGGGGGAACACCGGUGGCGAAGGCGGGUCCCUGGGCCGAUACUGACGCUGAGGAGCGAAAGCGUGGGGAGCGAACAGG
rnacentral:rRNA from 1 species